rnacentral:tmRNA from 1 species
GGGGAUGAUCGGUUUCGACGAUGGUCGUCGUUCCAGGAGAAGCGGGUCGAGGAUGCAGAGUCAUCUCGUCAACGAUCUCUGCAAACCAAUAGGUGCCGAUUCCAAGCGCACCGAGUUCGCCCUCGCCGCCUGAGCGAGUAGCGACUCCGUCAGCCCGGGCUAGCUCUCGUCCCGGUUCCUGGCGUCAUCUAGAGAGCCACUGCUCGUAGUCCUCGUCAUCGGGGCUGCGGGAACACUGAGAUGACUGGGCCUGUCAGCGACUUGUCUGCGAGAUCGCUGGGGCCGAGAAAAUCGUCAGCAGACUGCACCCGGAGAAGCCCUGGUUCCACGCCGUCGGACGCGGGUUCGAUUCCCGCCAUCUCCACCC